rnacentral:rRNA from 1 species
GAUGAACGCUAGCGGCAGGCCUGAUACAUGCAAGUCGAACGGUGUCUUCGGACAUAGUGGCGCACGGGUGCGUAACACGUAUGCAACCUACCUUACAUUGGGUGAUAGCCUUUCGAAAGGGAGAUUAAUACCGCAUAAGACAGUAGCUGGGCAUCCAGCAGCUGUUAAAGAUUUAUCGAUGUAAGCUGGGCAUGCGUCCAAUUAGCUAGUUGGUAAGGUAACGGCUUACCAAGGCUACGAUCAAUAACUGGUCUGAGAGGAUGAUCAGUCACACGGGCACUGAGACACGGGCCCGACUCCUACGGGAGGCAGCAGUAGGGAAUAUUGGACAAUGGAGGCAACUCUGAUCCAGCCAUCCAGCGUGAAGGAUUAAGGCCCUAUGGGUUGUAAACUUCUUUUCUCUGGGAAUAAAAACCGGGAUUUAUCCUGGCUUGAAGGUACCAGAGGAAUAAGCACCGGCUAACUCCGUGCCAGCCGCCGCCGUAACAC